AAGUUAAUCAAGUGAUUGUGAUAAGUGAAUUGUUAUAAGUUACUAACUUUAUAGAAAGGAUAAAGAAAAAAAGAAAGAAAAACAAUACAGUUAUAUAGAUUAUAUAAAACAUAUAGAUUGCGAAGUAUAGGCGCUUACCCACGAAGAAAAAAAAAUAAGACUGGCAAAAAGUUAAUUUCGGCUAAAACAAAUAAUUUUUUUCUUCCUUACGGCCGUUCCUAACGUAAUAUAAAACAUUGGAAGGACAAUUUGUAUAGUAUACACAAGAAAACGAAACAGGUUAUUUGUUUAUCCAUUUUUUCUUCACAUUUACAAUAAUUUCGUAUAUCGCUUUGCUGAAAAUUUUGAUGUUCUAAUACCAACACAAAUUCCUCAAUCGUAUUUUUACUAUGCUUCCAAAAAAUACAAAAAAAUAUUGGAAUGUCAAUGGACAAAAUGUAGAUUUAAAUAUUUUUAAUUCUAAUCAAUCAUCAAAUUGUGAACCGUCCAAAACAAAUACUUCCUAUAAUUCCGAAAAUACAGAAGUUAACUCAAACAACGCAGUGAACAUGGAAUCUAAGUAUGGUUAUGAGUAUACAGAAUUUGAAUCGCAGCAUUAUAGAAAUUCUCAACAAAAUUCGUUAUCUGCAUCACUAACGGCAGAGGAACCUGACCAAUAUAGAUUAGAACAUUCUAAUGAGCUUGCAGUUAGUAAAAACACGGAAUCAAGCAUUGAUCGAGAAAAUUAUCUACUAUUCAAUGAUUCAAUUUUCAAAAACCCAGGAUUUUAUAAACCAAUCAAGGAUUUUGAGGCAACAUCCAAUGCACCUCAAGGUAUUGAAUCUACAAAUUCAGAUCAUUAUAAAAUGUUGAGCCUUUCAAAUAUUCCAUCAAAUCAAUCCUCUUUUCCUUUCAAUAAUUAUGAAAACGAGUAUAGUCGACCACAAGCCACAACUUCAUACUCCUAUCCAGAAGAACAAAGUUCAAUUAGGACUCAGUCACUCAACUUGACAGGCGCUGCAAGUGCAUAUGAUUCCCAAACUUUGCAAGGCCAACAAUGUAGUCAUGGGAGUAAUAAAUCGAAUCAAUCGUCAUUUGCAAAUGGGAUAUUUUUGGAAGAAACUACUUAUGAUCUUCCAAAAACUAUGAGAGGAUCUGAAGUUACUAAUUCUCAACAAACUGCUACACCCAAAGAACCUACUAUGCAUUACGAACAAGAUUGGACAACUCAGACAUACACUAAUUAUACGUCUGAAGUUCCAGAACAACAAAGAACUGAAAAUGAUUACAAAGAAAAAAAGUUUCAAAGAGAAGCCGGUUAUAAGCGGGAAUAUCAAUUUGAGAAGUUAUUACGAGAAAAAAAUGAAGCUUUAGGUGAACAUACGUCAUUAUUAGAGAAGAAACGCAAAAGUAAUAAGUUAUUCCAAAAAAAUGUACUAGCACCUAUACCAUCUGAAAAACAAAAAGUUCCCAGGAAAAGAAAAACUGAUAAUACGAGGAAAAGGCGCUUCAAAGUUAAAGAAUCUGACGUAGUGAGUAACACUGCAGGCACAAUAGAUAAUAUGCAAGAAAAUGUAGUCGCUCCUUCAUUUAAUAAUAAUGUUAUGAGGAACCAACAGCUAUAUAAGUCGGUACAGCCAAGUGGACCUCCAAUGAUGGUGCCAUCUGGUUUUAAUUUUAAUUAUCCUGUGGCUCCAAACAACAUUUAUCUUAAUCCUUACGAGCAACAAACAAUUUACUUAAGUCACAUGGCUCAACAACGUAAUACAGUAGGACCAGCUGUGUUAUCAUCUGCAACAGAAGCGAAUUCGGUACAAACCUGGCCAAGAAUGUCCUAUAUGAAUACUUAUUAUGGACAUCCAAUAAAUCCAGGUUUAUAUCCGCAUGGAUAUCUAUCGAACUAUUUACCGCAUGAAUAUAGACGUGGUUAUCCUGAUACACAAACAAGUGAAUAUAUUCAAGGAAAUGACGUCAACUUACGAGAGUAUAGAUGAUAAUCGAUGGUUUCGUUAUUGUGGUGUUAUAGGAUCAUAUGGAUAAUGUAAUAAAUCUUAUAACAAAUCAAAUAAUUAUAUGAAUAAGAUUAACUUUGUUUCCCGACAAGAAUUUGAACAAUAAAUAUCUAUUAUAUUCAUCUUGACGAUUUUUCACUGGAGGAACAAGUUGGAUAGAUAACUGACGCUAAGUUUAAAACUUGAAGCUAGUCAUCUCUUGGAAUUCUCUCAAAAUAUUGAUCUAACCGCGAAUAUUUUGUGGUAUAUGAAUUUGCUUUAACGGCACGUUUAUCUUUAAAAUAUUUGCUUUUACUAAUCCUGUACCACCAAACAAAACUGUUUAUAUGACAAACUAUUGUUUUUUCGACGUUUUUGAGAUUGGUGAAUCAUCGUAAAUUCACACACGGCGGGAAUAUCACGAAAUGCGCAAUUCUUAAAUGCCCCACUGUUUGGAAAACCUCAAGCGUGUACUAACUAACGAGUUACUUUUAUUUACAUGAAGAAGGUUAAAUUUCAUAUACUGGUUCAAUUCUAAUGCCAAGAGUUUUGGAUUUUCUUUGCUUUUGCUUCCAAUGAUUCCAAGAGUAAUUCCCAGUUGAAUAAAGAUCAGCUCGUGCAAUAUAGGAGGAUUGCCAUCAAAUCAAAAUACCAUGGGAGUUAUAUUGGAGGAAGAAGACUUUGAUAUAUUCGCGUUCAAAGAAACGAGACUGCCAGGCUACAACGUUUAUAGAGAUGAUAUAAACGGAUGCUCCGGUGGCACAGCGAUAAUAAAGAAAACAUGAAAUAAACCAACUGAACGGACUACUUAGCAUGAAGGCGGCAAUAGUAGUCAUGAACACUACAAAUGGCCAUACUAGAAUAAUAUCGACAUACGACGGCUUGAAAUCAGUAUCCACGAGGAAGACGUGUUAGAGGUUAACCCUAAUGGGAAAAAAGCAUAAUUAAGGACACCUAAAUGCCAAGUCCUAGUAAAAUUUCGAGGGUAGGGCAGCUGUUAGGACGAUUACGGAAAUAACCAGUAAGAAAACGCUAAAGCAGCAGGUCUGUUUCUUCGAAGAAGCGAUAGAAGAAAUUUCCACAGUGGUCGAAGCAGACAAAUAUAGCAGAUUGCAAAAUAUAAACGACAAUCUAAAAAAAUUAUUGGGGACGAAAAUCUAAAAGCUGGAAGAGUCGAAAGGAGGCAAAACCAGGAAGAAAAAAGAGGAGAAAACAGAAUGGAACAACAGAAGGAUGAAAAGCCGCAAAAAAUAAAGUAAAUCACUGAUGCCAAUUCAAGAAAUCCACGCGAUGGAGCUGAAAAACACCAAGGAACCUCAGUUUACACUGAACAUCCCAACAAAGACAUGGAUUUCUCAGACAUGAUAGAUUAUUUGUUAGUGUUGAUAAUCACGUUCUAAAAUACUUUUCAACAAAUGUUUUGUAUCACAUAAAAAUCUAUUAAUGAAAUGCAUUUGUUCCCAAAUCUAAAUUUAUUAAAAUCAGCUCUAAUCAUUCAAUAAGUAAAAAUUGGCUAUUUUCUUAUACAAUUCUAUUUAAGAGUAAAUAUUUUCACCUUAUUUUAUAAAUGGUAAAACAUUUUUUUCAGGUUUUUAUUAUAACUGAAGGAAUAUCAGAUUACUAUUCAAAUCCAAUUAGUCUACAUUUCACUGGAGUAAGCAAAUAAGUACUCUUACAAUAUAUUUCUCUCGAUGUUUUUCUUAUAAUAGUUCUUUUUUUAUGAUACUCUACAACUUUGAGAAAUAUUAUGAGGAAAAACAUAAAUUUGAUAAUAUAUUAUAUUAUUAGUUGGGUAGUAGUAUACGCCGUUAAUAAAAUUCAAAGUUACCAAGUCAAUUUGGUGGUAUAAGAUACACACGUUUUGUGGAUCGUUAUUUUCAAGAUUCCUACGUGAAAUACGUGUACCGCUCUCUGAAGGCGAUAACAGGAAACUAUAACUUACGCUGGUUACUUGUUAGAUGUCGCUAAUGUUCAAUGAAAAUUGUUACGAAGAUUAUUUAUAAAUUUUAUUUUUUUCUAGCUUUUUCAAUUUCGAAUAUUCAUUUCGAUUUAUUUUUCAAUAUGUUUUUAUUCAUUUUUUGUAUUACUCUUAUUUCCUUAAGAUAUAUUUGAAAAAAUGAACUAUAAUAAUGUUCUAUUUUAAUUAAUCUCGUUAAUAAUAAAAACCUUCGUUCAUUUAAAUGAGAGGUUCUCAAAGUUGACUAGAUUCCAUCUAGAAAUUUAAAAAAGAAAAAAACAUAAAUAAAUUAUUUUUUAUUUGAUUCUCAAAUAACCUAGAAACAGUUUAUUUUAAUAGUACAGUACAUUUUUAGUAUCAUUUAUAUCAUUUAGACGUAAAUCGGGUCUAAUAAAGAUAUGAUCUAGUAAAUAGAAGGUUGAGAAGAAAAGAAAGAUUCUUCUAACAGACAAUGAUACUUUCCAUGAAAAGAAAGAAUGUCGUCAAUUACUUGCAAUUGAAAGUAUUUGUCAGUGAUGUAUCUGCUAACGAAUCACUGAACUCUUCACUUGCUUUUAUUGAAUAUUAGUAAUUGUUAAAUUUAUUCCUAAACAAUGAUAAUGAGUCGAAAUUUCAGAGAGUACACUUGGGUUUUUACAACACAGAUUUCAAAUGUUUAAAAAUAAUCAUAUUUAUCAUGCUCAAUAUAACUCUACCAUAAAAUAAUCUUUUCCAUGAUCGCUUUAAGGCCACUUGACAACGUGCAAUUCAAUGCAAGUCGCAAUAUUUCUUGAGCAUGCAUUUUCAUUAGGUGCAAGUUGCAAUUCUAGAGAGUAAUGAGUUUCUAAUCUGCUGAUAUUACGUUUCCCGCCAACGAUAUCUUAGUUAUCUCAUGUUUCAUUUUCAUUAGAAGUUUUUCAAGUGUUUCUUCAUCCAUUAUCGAGUAAAUUUUUAUGUUUUCUCAUCUAAUUCCAGACCAUGUCCUACCAUUGCCUACGUGUUAUUUCUGUCUGAAAAAGCAAGCAGCAGCAGAUAUAAUUAUUGCGAGUGAUGCACUCUUUCUUAUUCACUUCACUUUGCUAUUUUUAUUUUUAAACCGAUCACAAAAUAUUGAAUGAAAUUUGAGGUUAGGGAAUGAUAAGUGACCAUUCAAUUGAUCUUACCUUGCAUCAUGUCAAGCGGCCUUUGUUGUUAUCGUUUUGGACCUUGCAGAUACAAAUUGAGCUUAACUUUAGAACGAUUUCACCAUGUAGUAAAUGUAAGUAUAUUUUGUUUAUCAUUCUAAGUAAAUUGUUACCUAAUUCCGUAGUUCCACUAAUCAUGUAAGUACUUUACCCUAGAUAACUGAUGUACCGCCAUGCGGAAAAGAAGAAAUGUAUGAAGAUUAUCUAUUGUGUAUUUCUGUGAAGACUACGAUGGAUUUAUUAAGGAGAGGAUCUGUCUCCAACAACAAUUGUAUAUCGAAAUAAUGGGAUUAUUUCAAAUAAAACAUUCAUUUAAGUACACGUUAAUAUUAUAUUACAUAACGCAUCAACGAAUGAUUGUUGAAUUUCAAUAUUCAGACUUAUGAAUUUUCAAAAUAAAAGCGCAAUCGAUUCCAUUUUAACAUUGUUUAUUUUACGAAAAAAAAAUUUGUUAUUGAAUUGAAAGAACUAUAAUAUCCCUUACUGACAAACAAUUUGAAUGUACUUAAAUGAAUAUUUCAAUUGACACAUUCACAGUUAUAGUUUAAUUACUUUUGUUAGACUCAUUUGAAAGGUUUUCUCACAAAAAUUUAAUACCUUUAAUACCUGAUUAAAUUAUCUCAUUCGGUACUUGUAUAUAAUAUCUUCAGUCAAACUAUGAGAUUUUAAUUUGAAAGCAAUUAAUUCAGCCAUUUCAUAGGAAACUAACCGAGACACACUAAAUUGCUUUUCAAAAACCUGUACUAGUUUUAAUAAUUUCUGAAAGUAGCUUUUGUCCUUUGAUGACAGCAAAGGUUGUUUAAAAAUCAAGUAAUGUUUGAUUUCGCUCGGGACCAUAGAACUGUCUUAACUCCACUAUCCUUGCGAUGAAAUUAUCUUUAUUCACGGAGAAAUCUUUAUUUGUACUGCACCCGGAUUCGUUAGUAUGACCGCGAUUAUUUUCAUCGCUAAGUUUUCAUUUUUUUAUCCAUUUAUCCGUAAAAACAACAUGUUGUAUAUUACGUGCGACAGAAAGCGAAUAAUAAAUAUAACUGAGAAACUCGACUAUAUACAAACACCAAAACGCGACGAGGUCAACAUCUCUGUUUUUUUAUUGAAAACAUCAGUAGUUUUAUUGGAGUUUACUCCUUAAGAAUCGAUUUGCAUAUAUAAGGGGCCCGGUAUGAGAAAAAUGUGAGGAGUAAAAUCUAUCGAUGAAAGACCUCGUUACGUUUUUGGUGCGCACCCUAUGAUGCGCAACUUUCUAAUUUGUCAGUGUCAACAUACAUACUUAUAUUGCUGUUUUUAUUAUAAACAUCAAUAAUUAAUAUUGUUAUUGUGAAGUUUUAAUUUUUAUCAUUGUGUUCCGCUAAAGUGAACUGAAAGUAUUUUCAAAUAACUAUGGCAGAAAGAGGUGUAGAUGAUAUUGCCGGAACAUCUAACAAACACGUGGUUGCAAGGUACGUUAUAAUUCAUGUAUUAUAUGUAUGAGCAUGUGCAAUUUUUAUUUAUUAAAUAUUUUAAUAGUUAUCGAUGUAGUUCAUAUAAAUAUAUAUUUGAAAACAACACAUAAAAUUAGAUAAUCAACCCAAUAUGAAUUAUCGAGCCCACAUAAAAUAGAAAAUUUCGAACCGAAACAAAAAUUAAUUUUUUUGUCGAUGUCUAUAAAUUCAAAGAUGAUGGAUUGACAUUAAUAAAAUUUUUAAAAUUUGAACUGAAUUUAGAUAUUGUUUCUGAUAGAGCAAUGGGGACAACGAGGUAUGGUACAACCAUUGAUGCGGUAUUUUCAAGAUUCGUGAACCACGUAUCUACGAACGUCCAUGUGUCUUAUUUUAGUUACCAUAAACCACUUGCCACUGUAAUUAAUAAUGCAGACAAUGUUGAUUUAAUUAAUAU